UAUUUAAGGUAAUGCCUGCCCAGUGCUAUAAUUGUAAAUGGCCGCAGUACCUUGACUGUGCUAAGGUAGCAUAAUCAGUUGGCUUUUAAAUGGAGUCGGGAAUGAAUGGAUUUAUAGGGUGGAACUGUCUCUAUUAUAUUUUAUUGAACUUAAUUAUUUAGGUGAAAAUACCUAAUUUUUGUUAAAAGACGAGAAGACCCUAGGAGUUUUUACUAGAUAUAAUUUUGUAUUAUUAAAUGUUUUUGUUGGGGCGACAUAUGAACAGAAUAUAACUUCAUUAAUUUUAUACGCCGACUUAUUGUAUGCAUAAUUAAACUACCCUAGGGAUAACAGCGUUAUUCUUUAUAGAGCUUGCGACCUCGAUGUUGGACUAGGAAUUGGAUUGGCUAGCCGCCAAUUUUUAUUGUUCUGUUCGAA
rnacentral:rRNA from 1 species